rnacentral:rRNA from 1 species
UUGUAAGUGUUUAUGAGCGUACGGUGGAUGCCUUGGCACCAGGAGCCGAUGAAGGACGUGGGAGGCUGCGAUAUGCCUCGGGGAGCUGUCAACCGAGCUGUGAUCCGAGGAUUUCCGAAUGGGGAAACCCAGCACGAGUGAUGUCGUGUUACCCGCGCCUGAAUAUAUAGGGCGUGUGGAGGGAACGUGGGGAAGUGAAACAUCUCAGUACCCACAGGAAGAGAAAACAACAUGUGAUUCCGUGAGUAGUGGCGAGCGAAAACGGAAGAGGCUAAACCGGAUACAUGUGAUACCCGGCAGGGGUUGUGUGUUCGGGGUUGUGGGGUUCGAUGUGUCGGUGCUGCCGCGCCGGCCGACAGUGAGAAAUCGCCUGUGUUAGUCGAAAUGGUCUGGAACGGCCUGUCGUAGAGGGUGAGAAUCCCGUAGACGAAAACGCGGUGACUGUCGAUUCGAAUACCCGAGUAGCAGCGGGCCCGUGAAAUCUGCUGUGAAUCCGUCGGGACCACCCGAUAAGCCUGAAUACUCCCUGGUGACCGAUAGCGGACUAGUACCGUGAGGGAAAGGUGAAAAGUACCCCGGGAGGGGAGUGAAAUAGUACCUGAAACCGUGCGCUUACAAUCCGUCGGAGCCUUCGAGCAGUUUGGUCUGCUGGGGGUGACGGCGUGCCUUUUGAAGAAUGAGCCUGCGAGUUAGUGGCAUGUCGCGAGGUUAACCCGUGUGGGGUAGUCGUAGCGAAAGCGAGUCCGAACAGGGCGCAUCAGUGGCAUGUUCUAGACCCGAAGCGGAGUGAUCUACCCAUGGCCAGGGUGAAGCGACGGUAAGACGUCGUGGAGGCCCGAACCCACUUAGGUUGAAAACUGAGGGGAUGAGCUGUGGGUAGGGGUGAAAGGCCAAUCAAACUCCGUGAUAGCUGGUUCUCCCCGAAAUGCAUUUAGGUGCAGCGUCGCGUGUUUCUCACCGGAGGUAGAGCUACUGGAUGGUCUAGGGGGCCCACAAGCUUACCGAAAUCAGCCAAACUCCGAAUGCCGGUGAGUGAGAGCGCGGCAGUGAGACUGCGGGGGAUAAGCUUCGUAGUCGAGAGGGAAACAGCCCAGAUCGCCGGCUAAGGCCCCUAAGCGUGUACUAAGUGGAAAAGGAUGUGGGAUCGCUGAGACAACCAGGAGGUUGGCUUAGAAGCAGCCACCCUUGAAAGAGUGCGUAAUAGCUCACUGGUCAAGUGGUUCUGCGCCGACAAUGUAGCGGGGCUCAAGUACACCGCCGAAGCCGCGGCACUCACAUUAGCCCGCUCGUUCCCUGCGGGGGGCGAGCCAGGUGUGUGGGUGGGUAGGGGAGCGUCGUGCAGCCGGGGAAGCGCCGGAGUGAUCCAGGUGUGGAGGCUGCGCGAGUGAGAAUGCAGGCAUGAGUAGCGAAAGACGAGUGAGAAACUCGUCCGCCGAAUGACCAAGGGUUCCUGGGCCAGGUUAAUCCGCCCAGGGUGAGUCGGGACCUAAGGCGAGGCCGACAGGCGUAGUCGAUGGACAACGGGUUGAUAUUCCCGUACCCGUGUGAACGCGCCCCUGGUGAAUCAUCGGUACUAACCGUCCAAAGGGUGAUCGAGUUCCUUCGGGAGCCGAGAGCCUGCUGCACGGGACCUUCGGUGGUAGUAGCCAAGCGAUGGGGUGACGCAGGAAGGUAGUGGGGCCGGUCAGUGGUUGUACCGGUGUAAGCCCGUAGGGCGUGACACAGGCAAAUCCGUGUCGCACACAGCCUGAGAGGUGAUGCGUAGCCGAAUGAGGCGAAUUCCAUGAUCCUAUGCUGCCGAGAAAAGCCUCUAGCGAGCUUUCACACGGCCCGUACCCCAAACCGACACAGGUGGUCAGGUAGAGAAUACCGAGGCGAUCGAGAGAACUGUGGUUAAGGAACUCGGCAAAAUGCCCCCGUAACUUCGGGAGAAGGGGACCAGUCCCGGUGACCGGACUUGCUCCGUGAGCCGGGGGUGGUCGCAGAGACCAGAGAGAAGCGACUGUUUACUAAAAACACAGGUCCGUGCGAAGUCGUAAGACGAGGUAUACGGACUGACGCCUGCCCGGUGCUGGAAGGUUAAGAGGACCGGUCAGCGGAGUUCACUCCGCGAAGCUGAGAAUUUAAGCCCCAGUAAACGGCGGUGGUAACUAUAACCAUCCUAAGGUAGCGAAAUUCCUUGUCGGGUAAGUUCCGACCUGCACGAAUGGCGUAACGACUUCUCUGCUGUCUCAACCACAGACUCGGCGAAAUUGCACUACGAGUAAAGAUGCUCGUUACGCGCGGCAGGACGAAAAGACCCCGGGACCUUCACUACAGCUUGGUAUUGGUGUUCGGUUCGGUUUGUGUAGGAUAGGUGGGAGACUGGGAAGCCCGCACGCCAGUGUGGGUGGAGUCGUUGUUGAAAUACCACUCUGAUCGUAUUGGACCUCUAACCUCGGACCCUGAUCGGGUUCAGGGACAGUGCCUGGUGGGUAGUUUAACUGGGGCGGUUGCCUCCCAAAAUGUAACGGAGGCGCCCAAAGGUUCCCUCAGCCUGGUUGGCAAUCAGGUGUCGAGUGCAAGUGCACAAGGGAGCUUGACUGUGAGACCGACAGGUCGAGCAGGGACGAAAGUCGGGACUAGUGAUCCGGCACCGGCAUGUGGAAGCGGUGUCGCUCAACGGAUAAAAGGUACCCCGGGGAUAACAGGCUGAUCUUCCCCAAGAGUCCAUAUCGACGGGAUGGUUUGGCACCUCGAUGUCGGCUCGUCGCAUCCUGGGGCUGGAGUAGGUCCCAAGGGUUGGGCUGUUCGCCCAUUAAAGCGGCACGCGAGCUGGGUUUAGAACGUCGUGAGACAGUUCGGUCUCUAUCCGCCGCGCGCGUUAGAAACUUGAGGAAGGCUGUCCCUAGUACGAGAGGACCGGGACGGACGAACCUCUGGUGUGCCAGUUGUCCCGCCAGGGGCACGGCUGGUUGGCUACGUUCGGAAGGGAUAACCGCUGAAAGCAUCUAAGCGGGAAGCCUGUUCCAAGAUGAGGUUUCUCACCCCUCGAGGGGUAAGGCCCCGGCAGACCACCGGGUUGAUAGGCCGGAACUGGAAGUGCGGUAACGCAUGCAGGUGACCGGUACUAAUAGGCCGAGGACUUACCACA